GAAAAGAGGAAGGUCAAUGCACAAGCUGUGCUAAAUGAGAGCAAUUAAAACAAGCAAAGCCUAAGAAAAAUCAAGAAGCAACUAAAGUUUAUUUGAAUGCAUACACAAAGAACACAAUAAAGUACAGAUUUUGUGUUUCAAAACUAUAAGUUCACCCAAGAAACCUUUUAAGAUUCUGAAUUUGUGCCUCCUUGCAAAGGUCCACAGUAUCCAAAAAGACACAUUUUGCAA
rnacentral:misc_RNA from 1 species